CUUAUCAAGAGUGGCGGAGGGAAUAGGCCCUGUGAUGCCCGGCAACCCUAAGGCGGAUGUUCAUUUAGCAGUUUUAACACGACCUUAAAGAACUCCAUCUUAAAGGUGCUAAUUCCUACAGAGCAUUGCUUUGAAAGAUGAGG
rnacentral:ncRNA from 1 species